rnacentral:piRNA from 1 species
UCUUAGCACCUCACUGUGAUAAACUGGAGCC